rfam:Rhizobium yanglingense strain CCBAT 01603 genomic scaffold C557, whole genome shotgun sequence.
GGUCUGGGGUCGCGAUCACCCCACGAGGCGACAGCUGAAGUAUCGCGUCCGAUAACCCGUACAACGGAGGACGCGUCAUG